rnacentral:rRNA from 1 species
UACGGGGGGGGCAAGCGUUGUUCGGAAUUACUGGGCGUAAAGGGCUCGUAGGCGGCCAACUAAGUCAGACGUGAAAUCCCUCGGCUUAACCGGGGAACUGCGUCUGAUACUGGAUGGCUUGAGUUUGGGAGAGGAAUGCGGAAUUCCAGGUGUAGCGGUGAAAUGCGUAGAUAUCUGGAGGAACACCGGUGGCGAAGGCGACAUCCUGGACCAACACUGACGCUGAGGAGCGAAAGCCAGGGGAGCAAACGGG